GAUGCCGUUCGCCAUCGCCGCCGACAAGAGCACGACGCAGGCGAGCACGGCCAGCCUGCCCGCCAUUGCCGCUGCUUCUUCUGCUCUUCAGCGAUCGAUGUCCAAAGGAGAUGCAAAGGUUGCCGCAGAAUAUACGGGCCGGGAGGGAUCAGGCAAGGCUCUUGGGAGAUGGGAGCAAGCAAGCGGACGAGCAGGAGCUGAGUGACAAGUGGUGAAGGGAGAGCUGAUGUGUGGGAGAGGCACAUUGCUGCUGUCGAGCGGCUUUGGCUCCUUUCUUUCCCCUCCUUUGUUGGUUGGCUCAAAAAAGUACAAAUCAGGAACACCCCAGGUCUAGUCGUGAUCGGCCUGCGAGACUGGUGAUCGAGCUGGGCCUGGGCGCCGCCCGAGGAAGGAGAAGGAAGACAGGGAAGUUCCAAAGGAGCAGUCAGCACUGCGUGCCUUGCCAGCAAGGGCAAGCGAUCUAGCGCCAUUCAGAUGGAGUUAUCUUGCCUGCAGGGGCCUACACUGCCUGACCAAACUGAUUAGCAUGCCGAGUUUGAACUAGUAGAAUUAGAAUAGCCAUUGCUGGUGGUACGAGCAGGGCAGGCAUGAUGGCGGCAUGCGUACGGUCCCUGCGGCGUGGCGCCAAUGAUUUCGCUGCAUAUGACGGUUGCUCUGUUGUCUGUUGAUGCCAACAACAAGGUGGCCUGACUGGCUGGCAUCGAUGCUGACUGAGAAAGCAGCAGCGGGAAGGGAAGAAAUAAAACAGUCGGUGACAAGACCAACACCGUACUACGGUCUCUUGUUGGGCCGGUGAUCACAGCUUGGACGGUUGUGACCUCUACCCUCGCCUUGGAAACACCAUCUAGGUUUUUUUUUCCUUUAAAAAAAUUACUCUUGAUAUACGCAACUGCAUGCACACCGAGCUAUUUCUCAUGCUGGUGUGCUAGCUACUGGCCACUAGUAGGUGUAGCAACUGAUGCUGUAUCAUAGUGAAUUC